rnacentral:misc_RNA from 1 species
AAGUCGUAACAAGGUUUCCGUAGGUGAACCUGCGGAAGGAUCAUUAAUGAGUUUGAAUGGGUUGUUGCUGGCCUUUCGAGGCAUGUGCACACCUUUCUCAAUCCAACCAACACCUGUGAACUUAUGGGGAAGAUGAAGAGUGACGCUGGAUAACGGCUGAUCUCUAAGUCCUCUCUUCUUUACACCAAACUAAAGUUAUAGAACGUCCUUUGCUUAAUGCAAACAAAUACAACUUUCAACAACGGAUCUCUUGGCUCUC